rnacentral:rRNA from 1 species
AGAGUUUGAUCCUGGCUCAGGACGAACGCUGGCGGCGUGCCUAACACAUGCAAGUCGAACGGGGUCCAUGGGAGCUUGCUCCCGGAAGACCUAGUGGCGAACGGGUGAGUAACACGUGAGAAACCUGCCCUGGAGUGGGGAAUAACUCGGGGAAACUCGAGCUAAUACCGCAUACCCUCGGAUGGUCGCAUGGCCGACCGAGGAAAGAUUCAUCGCUUCAGGAGGGUCUCGCGGCCUAUCAGCUAGUUGGUGGGGUAACGGCCUACCAAGGCAACGACGGGUAGCUGGUUUGAGAGAACGAUCAGCCACACUGGGACUGAGACACGGCCCAGACUCCUACGGGAGGCAGCAGUGGGGAAUCUUGCGCAAUGGGCGAAAGCCUGACGCAGCAACGCCGCGUGCGGGAUGACGGCCUUCGUGGUUGUAAACCGCUUUCAGCAGGGACGAAAAUGACGGUACCUGCAGAAGAAGCCCCGGCUAACUACGUGCCAGCAGCCGCGGUAAU